ensembl:snoRNA SNORD72 small nucleolar RNA, C/D box 72
AGCUUGUCAGUGAUGCACUUUUAAAAAAUGUCUGAACAUAUGAAUAAAUAGUGAUUUCAGCAUUUAACUGAGAUAAGCU